ACCUGCUAUUUUGUGAACGGAGUAAGCUAUUUUCUUUCUUCCUUUAUGAAAAAUAUAGAAGUAGUGGAAGUAGUACACUCCUUAGUAGCAACAAGAAGUAGUUAUAUAGGGUAUAUAUGUCUCCCUUGACCAUCACAAUUACAUAUAGGAUCACAUAAGCUCCAACUAAAGAUGUAGCAGCAGUAGUAAAUACACAAAGAAUGGAAAUCCCGAUCAUAGCCAAAAAUAAUACUAGAAGUGAAACCAAUUUGUCCCAUCCUUGUUUGCAUGUUGAGUAAGUUCCCUAUCUCUCUAGCACAUAAAAAAGAAUGGAAUUUGAUCAAGAAAUACCAGCAGUCUGCUGCAUAUUGCGUAAGUACCAAAUCUCUCUAGCCGAUCUUGAGCAUUGUUGUUUAGGACUUCAUCGCCGCCGUGUCCAUGGAGCGGCGCCCUGUCUCAAUGUCAUGGUGAUCCUUCAACCCGCAUGGCCUUCUCCUCGUAUCCUCCUAUGCUGUCAAAUGUGAGCUUCAGGUCAUCACGGGUCCAGAACGGGUCUUUCUUCUUCUUCUCCUUCUCAUCAGUUUUCAAACUUGAUCAGCAACCAAUCUAGGGGCAUGAGUUCUCGUUGAUUAGCAGAAUAUUUCUAUUGCAAAAACAACUCAGUUUUUACCGCACAUUGAUUCAGAUAACACUUUUUGUGAGGGAUUUAGAAGAUACUUAGUAUGAGAAGCCAAACAAAAAAAAUCAAUUCAGUUGCUUUUACAUUAAAAUGGACUAAUUCAUUAAGAAUAAUCACCAAUCAAGUUUAUUAGCAGUUUGUUCAGAAAGUUGGAACUAUGAUUUAGAACCCCAAAAAUCCAUAUAUUGCCUAACAGAAACAUCAUAGAAAAUUUGAAUCUACGCCAGCAACACGAUAUGAGACAUAUCCGUUCCCCACGAGGAAGGGGAUUACACGCAAACAAAAGGAAAAUCAGGUCUGCAUUAAAAAGUUCAAAAGAAAAUCCUGUACGAGCAAAUGGGUAAAGGGAAAUAUUGUUGCGUAGUGUGUACCUGAAGUCCUAGUUCUAUAUGAACUCGUAGUCAAUCUCCACGCUCCAAAGCUUCAUGACUAGAAUAUAUUUUUAGCACAUAUGAUUAUAAUGCCUGUUAUCAUAGUAUGCAGUGAUAUUCUCUUCCUGGUAGUUUGUGGUUAAAUGCAUUGCUUUUCUGAAUUUGCAAUGUGCUGCAGGCAUGUGCAGAACAACAGGCUAACCAGGACACUCGAUGUGCUGCGCGAUCUUCCCCUGAAAGACCUGUAAUUGCUGUACCAAUUUACACAGAUACCUCCUUAGCUCAUACUGUUGAAUAAUGAUGGUCACACUACUCCUUGACGAGAUAACAUGCAAAAUCCUGCGUGUUAUUGAGAGAGAAAAAACAUUUCCACG
rnacentral:lncRNA from 1 species